rnacentral:lncRNA from 1 species
AUGCUCAAAAUUCUCCAAGCCAGGCUUCAGCAAUACAUGAACCAUGAACUUCAAGAUGUUCAAGCUGGUUUUAGAAAAGGCAGAGGAAUGAGAGAUCAAAUUGCCAACAUCCGCUGGAUCAUGGAAAAAGCAAGAGAGUUCCAGAAAAACAUCUACUUCUGCUUUAUUGACUAUGCCAAAGCCUUUGACUGUGUGGGUCACAAUAAAAUGUGGAAAAUUCUUAAAGAGAUGGGAAUACCAGACCACCUGACCUGCCUCCUGAGAAAUCUGUAUGCAGGUCAGGAAGCAACACUUAGAACUGGACAUGGAACAACAGACUGGUUCCAAAUAGGAAAAGGAGUACAUCAAGGCUGUAUAUUGUCACCCUGCUUAUUUAACUUAUAUGCAGAGUACAUCAUGAGAAACACUGGGUUGGAAGACACACAAGCUGGAAUCAAGAUUGCCAGGAGAAAUAUCAAUCACCUCAGAUAUGCAGAUGACACCACCCUUAUGGCAGAAAGUGAAGAACUAAAAAGCCUCUUGAUGAAAGUGAAAGAGGAGAGUGAAAAAGUUGGCUUAAAGCUAAACAUUCAGAAAACUAAGAUCAUGGCAUCCAGUCCCAUCACUUCAUGGCAAAUAGAUGGGGAAACAGUGGAAACAGUGUCAGACUUUAUUUUUCUGGGCUUCAAAAUCACUGCAGAUGGUGACUGCAGCCAUGAAAUUAAAAGGCACUUCCUCCUUGGAAGAAAAGUUAUGAUCAACCUAGAUAGCAUAUUAAAAAGUAGAGAUAUUACUUUGCCAACAAAGGUCUGUCUAGUCAAGGCUAUGGUUUUUCCACUGGUCAUGUAUGGAUGUGAGAGUUGGACUAUAAAGAAAGCUGAGAAUCAAAGAAUUGAUGCUUUUGAACUGUGGUGUUGGAGAAGACUCUUGAGAGUCCCUUGGACUGCAAGGAGAUCCAACCAGUCCAUCCUAAAGGAGAUCAGUCCUGGGUGUUCAUUGGAAGGACUGAUGUUGAAGCUGAAACUCCAAUACUUUGGCCAUCUGAUGAAAAGACCCUGA